CAAUCCAUGAGUACAGUGGCGUACGGGUGAGUAACACGUGGGUGAUCUACCUCUUAGUGAGGAAUAACCCUGGGAAACCGGGGCUAAUACCGCAUAAGCCUUAGCAGGGAAGGUCGAAAGACGCUGAGAGAGGAGCCCGCGGCCGAUUAGCUAGUUGGUGGGGUAAAGGCCCACCAAGGCAGAGAUCGGUAGCCGGCCUGAGAGGGCACACGGCCACACUGGCACUGAAACACGGGCCAGACUCCUACGGGAGGCAGCAGUGGGGAAUCUUGCACAAUGGGGGCAACCCUGAUGCAGCGACGCCGCGUGAGCGAUGAAGCCCUUCGGGGUGUAAAGCUCUUUCGUCAGGGAAGAUAAUGACGGUACCUGGAGAAGCAGCUGCGGCUAACUACGUGCCAGCAGCCGCGGUAAU
rnacentral:rRNA from 1 species